rnacentral:rRNA from 1 species
UGGGGAAUAUUGGGCAAUGGGGGUAACCCUGACCCAGCGACGCCGCGUGAGGGACGAAGGUUUUCGGAUCGUAAACCUCUGUUGUACGGGAAGAAGGAAUUGACGGUACCGUACGAGAAAGCCCCGGCAAACUACGUGCCAGCAGCCGCGGUAACACGUAGGGGGCGAGCGUUGUCCGGAAUUACUGGGCGUAAAGGGCGCGCAGGCGGUCAUGUAAGUCUGCUGUGAAAAGCAUCGGCUCAACCGGGUGUCUUGCGGCGGAUACUGCAUGGCUUGAGUACUGGAGAGGGAAGUGGAAUUCCCGGUGUAGCGGUGAAAUGCGUAGAUAUCGGAGGACACCGGUGGCGAAGGCGGCUUCUGGCCAGUAACUGACGCUCAUGCGCGAGAGCGUGGGUAGCGA